rnacentral:rRNA from 1 species
GACGAGCGCUGGCGGCGUGCUUAACACAUGCAAGUCGAACGGAAAGGCCCUGCUUUUGUGGGGUGCUCGAGUGGCGAACGGGUGAGUAACACGUGAGUAACCUGCCCUUGACUUUGGGAUAACUUCAGGAAACUGGGGCUAAUACCGGAUAGGAGCUCCUGCUGCAUGGUGGGGGUUGGAAAGUUUCGGCGGUUGGGGAUGGACUCGCGGCUUAUCAGCUUGUUGGUGGGGUAGUGGCUUACCAAGGCUUUGACGGGUAGCCGGCCUGAGAGGGUGACCGGCCACAUUGGGACUGAGAUACGGCCCAGACUCCUACGGGAGGCAGCAGUGGGGAAUGUUGCACAAUGGGCGGAAGCCUGAUGCAGCAACGCCGCGUGCGGGAUGACGGCCUUCGGGUUGUAAACCGCUUUCGCCUGUGACGAAGCGUGAGUGACGGUAAUGGGUAAAGAAGCACCGGCUAACUACGUG